AAUAUUGCACAAUGGGCGAAAGCCUGAUGCAGCAACGCCGCGCGAGUGAUGAAGGCCUUCGGGUCGUAAAGCACUUUCAUCAGGGAGGAUAAGGACAGUACCUGAAAAACAAGCUACGGCUAACUACGUUCCAUCCGCCGCGGUAAUACGUAGGUGGCGAGCGUUGUCCGGAAUGACUGGGCGUAAAGGAUGCGUAGGUGGAUACUUAAGUGGGAUGUGAAAUCCCCGGGCUCAACCCGGGAACUGCAUUCCAAACUGGGUAUCUAGAGUGCAGGAGAGGAGAGCGGAAUUCCUAGUGUAGCGGUGAAAUGCGUAGAUAUUAGGAGGAACACCAGUGGCGAAGGCGGCUUUCUGGACUGUAACUGACACUGAGGCAUGAAAGCGUGGGUAGCAAACAGG
rnacentral:rRNA from 1 species